GUCAGAGACGGUGCUUAAAAGACAGGAAUUCCAUACCUUGAAUUCACUUUCCCAUGAAAGGCUGCAGAAGUUACUACAGGAAACAAAAAGCAAUUUACCUUUAUGCCAACCAACCCUCUGUCUUCCAUAACCCCCUCCCUCUCUCUUACUCGUCUGCCACCUGAAGAAUCUUAACAUGGAGAGAGAACUUUCUUUAACGCUGUGAUGCUCAAAGUGUGGUACGCGGGCAAGCUGCUUCGCCCUACCCUGGGAGCACGUUAGAAACACAGAUUCUUGAGUGCCACCCAGGCCUACUGAAUCCAAGAUCCCCAUGGAUUGAUGUGCACCCUGGACAUCGGGAGUAACCCUUCAACCGGCGUCCCUGCAGAAGGAUCAUGACACAAUGAAGAGAAGACUUUAGCACUUCAAGUCCUUGUCCAACUUUUGAGAGUGCACAAGCCACGCUUCAGCAGGUGGAUGCAGAGUUCUAGAUUUUACAGCAACUCUAGACUCUUGCACUGGUGUAAGACUUAGUACCCACACACUUCGAUUUAAGGAAUAAUUGGUUCAAAGACCUGAGAAGUUGCCUUAAGCCAUGUGGUGAGGAAGAAAAUGAAUCAAAAUCAAAACCCAACUUCUCUGCCUGCAAGCCCUCCUUUGAAAAUGAUGCAAUCCAGUCUUAUUACUGAUAAAGUGCUAUUAUUAAUACUCUGUUCCUGGCUCAACUCUCAGCUCUGUGGCCCAUUGUCCAGCACUCAGCCAGUACCCUGGCAGGCACUGGGACCAUUUGAUGCAGAGGAAUGCUGAGCAGCAUGCGGCCAGGCAGCCUCAGCUGGCCAGGUGACGCCUAGCCAGAUGGUCACCCCCUCCCCCCGGAGCCACUAUUGAAAAUCUGAAAGAGACAAAAUGCCUGUGGAAUCCUCCAAGAGGGACCAGAUGCUGCUUGGGGAAAACCUGUCCACAUUGACUCAUCAGGGGACGUGUGGAGCAGGAGAAACUUGAAUGAUGAAUAAAACAAGAAACAGAGAAGAGCCCUGACUCAAUUAGAAUGAAAUCAAUGCCUAGCACCUCGUGUUUUCCCAUUUGUGGCUAUCAAAUGACCUCUAUCAAAAAAUACGUAUUAAAAGCAGACCCAGAAAUAAAUUCCCCACACCUACCUUUCAGAAUUGCACAAAUUUGUAUAGAGAAAAAGAAGCAGGGGAAGUCUUCCUGCUUGUUGCAGCACCUGGUGUGUGUUUUUCCUUUCCACUGCUAGUUUUUCUGUUGGCAAAUAAGUCGUGUGCGCUAUUGGAGCGUAUCCCCCAGGCCUUAAGAUGCGGCACUGGGUCUUGUGGGAUGGAGGCCUAUCAAAUCGGGCUGGAGCAUGGUUUUGUCUGAUGUGACCCUGGGAGCCCGAAGGGAUCUGUGAACAGACAGCAGCCUGCGGGAGUGCCUCCGCCUCCUUUUGUCCCUCCAGCUCCCCAGUGCAGCAGCUGAUCUGGUUAUUAUGCUCCUCAAAAGAAUUUCUAGGUGGCCACAGCCACCGUAAGGAACCUAGAAACCCACGAGGGCUGAAAGCCGGGAAGAACAACACAUUGGCCCCUUGAGUGUUAAUCUCACCCGUAAUUAGAGCUUUGUGGUGCUCAUAGAAAGCCAAACUAAGGCAGAGAGGAGCCGGCUGAGGUCUGUAGCCCACCAUUUUACCAAAUGUGCUGUCAUUAGCACAAGUGUCCUACUUGGUGGGACUGAUAUUUUAGAAAGAAAGGCAGAGUAGAUUUAGAGCAAAAUCCAACUGCAUUUAAGAUUGAAUUUAAAUUAUCUUAGUUUUCUGUUUUUCUUCCCUACCCCAUUUUUAGAGAUAUAUGCAUUUUAAUAGAAAUUUAUUCUGCUUGGGUCUGAUUUGUUUACCUUAGCCUUAUCAAAAUGUUUUGUAAGAGUGAUUUCACGUCAACAAAAUUUGCAUAACUUUCUCUUGGGCUAUUCUCACACUAAUGACUGAUGUUUGGGCCUGGAAUUAACAAGUGUGCCUCUGCUGAGACUUGCCAUGGCAUCAGCUGGGGCAAUUGCUCUCUAUUCUGCACUCCCCAACCAUAUCCCCCUCCCAGCCAUCUCAGGACAUCCAGGCAAUAAAGAUGACUGACCUCUCUGCCCAUCCUCUGAAUCUAACUUGCAAGGGUUCCAAACCUCCAACUCUGGCUUACCACCUUCUAUUUUAAUUUGUUACAUGGCUACCUGUUGGCAGAGGGGAGAAAAAAUGAAUACUUGGUCACAAAAUGGGUAAUCAUGCUUAAUUAUUGGUGAAAAUAAUUAAUUUAAUGUUGAAAAAAAGAUGGUAACCUUAACUUACUUUUGGAAGUGGUAUGAAUCCAUUUAAUCUAUUUAAAUGCAUGUGUUGCAAUUAAAUUGUGAGGGAGAGGAAUAUAAUAUAUGGAUUGAUAUAACACUUCAGACUUCGUUUUUCAAAUAUAUUAUCUUGUUUGACUAUCCUAAAAAUAUUAUAAGAUAGAUAAUAAAGUUGUGUUUUCUUAAUUCCCUUUUAUCUGUAAGGAGACUGAGGGCCAGAUUUUUACAGCCACACAAAAUUCCCGGGAUCCUAUCCUGGAUUUUUACUAUCUUACUUGUGCUUAUUUACCAGGUGGGAGUGCAGGGUUUUCAUUUAGAGACCUGCUUGUCCAGGUCCAGAAAGGUUUGCUCCUGUCUGAAUAGGCAGCUAACCAGAGGGUGGGGCAAUUCUGAAUGCUAAUUGCCUUGGUGAAACUCCUGCUUCCAUGGAAUAAGGGUAAAUAAAAACAUGGAGUGAAAUGCCAUCAGUGAUCCAGCAGGAUCUUCCUAAGGACAGAAUUGUUGAAAAUUCCUUUCUGGGCUGGGAGAAACAAGGAAAACAUGUAAAUUAUGGCCUCCUUAAAACACCAUAGCAUUGGGGGCAGCACUGUGGCUCAGCGCGUUAAUGCCCUGGCCUGAAGAGCUAGCAUCCCAUGUGGGAGCCGGUUCUAGUCCCAGCUGCUCCUCUUCCGAUCCAGCUCUCUGCUGUGGCCUGGGAUAGCAGGAGAAAAUGGUCCAAGUCCUUGGGCCCCUGCACCUGCAUGGGAGGCCUGGAAGAAGCUCCUGGUUCCUGGCUUCGGAUCGGCACAGCUCUGGCCGUUGCAGCCAUCUGGAGGGUGAACCAGCGGAUGGAAGACC